rnacentral:ribozyme from 2 species
AGAGGUUGCAACCUCUAUAAAUAGGGCUUUAAGUUGCAAGCGUUCCCGCUGGAAACAGUGGGAGAUAGCC